AUGCACGCUGGCGGCGUGCUUAACACAUGCAAGUCGAACGAUGAAGCCCAGCUUGCUGGGUGGAUUAGUGGCGAACGGGUGAGUAACACGUGAGUAACCUGCCCUUGACUCUAGGAUAAGCCCGGGAAACUGGGUCUAAUACUGGAUAGGAACGUCUACCGCAUGGUGGGUGUUGGAAAGAAUUUCGGUCAUGGAUGGACUCGCGGCCUAUCAGCUUGUUGGUGAGGUAAUGGCUCACCAAGGCGACGACGGGUAGCCGGCCUGAGAGGGUGACCGGCCACACUGGGACUGAGACACGGCCCAGACUCCUACGGGAGGCAGCAGUGGGGAAUAUUGCACAAUGGGCGAAAGCCUGAUGCAGCGACGCCGCGUGAGGGAUGACGGCCUUCGGGUUGUAAACCUCUUUCAGUAGGGAAGAAGCGAAAGUGACGGUACCUGCAGAAGAAGCACCGGCUAACUACGUG
rnacentral:rRNA from 1 species